rnacentral:lncRNA from 1 species
UUUUUUUGAAAUUUUUACAGUUCCCUGUUGUCUAGAUUUUUCAAAAUUCCUUUCUCCAUCACAUAGGUUUUUUUUACUUAAUCAAGAGUUGAUUUUAUUAAUAUAUGAGAUCUUCAACACAUAUAAAACCAUUAGUCAAAGCAUGAAGAUUACACUUGAUCAUGAGAACAUCACACAGACGUCACAAGAACAUGAUUACCUCAAUAUCCAAAUUAUAAAGACAUCAACCCUGCAGGAUA